rnacentral:rRNA from 1 species
GCACGAGAACACCUCAGCUUGCUGGGGUAAGUAAAGUGGCGCACGGGUGAGUAACGCGUGGGUAAUCUGCCCUCGAAUCUGGGAUAACCGCGCGAAAGCGGGCUAAUACCGGAUGAAAUCCAGUUAGCUUUGGCUAUAUGGAUCAAAGGUGGCCUCUGCAUGCAAGCUACUGUUUGGGGAUGAGCCCGCGUACCAUUAGCUUGUUGGUGGGGUAAAGGCCCACCAAGGCGACGAUGGUUAGCUGGUCUGAGAGGAUGAUCAGCCACACUGGAACUGGAACACGGUCCAGACUCCUACGGGAGGCAGCAGUGAGGAAUUCUGCGCAAUGGGGGUAACCCUGACGCAGCAACGCCGCGUGAGUGAUGAAGGCCUUCGGGUCGUAAAGCUCUGUCAAGUGGGAAGAACCCAUUCCGGCACAACAAGCCGGGGUGCUGACGGUACCACUGAAGGAAGCACCGGCUAACUCCGUUGCCAGCAGCCGCGGUAAUACGGAGGGUGCGAGCGUUAUUCGGAAUUACUGGGCGUAAAGGGCGCGUAGGCGGCCGAUUAAGUCAGAUGUGAAAUCCCGGGGCUUACCCCCG